CACGUAGGGGACGAGCGUUGUCCGGAUUCAUUGGGCGUAAAGGGCUCGUAGGCGGUCUGUUACGUCGGGAGUGAAAACUCGGGGCUCAACCCCGAGCCUGCUUCCGAUACGGGCAGACUAGAGGUAUGCAGGGGAGAAUGGAAUUCCUGGUGUAGCGGUGAAAUGCGCAGAUAUCAGGAGGAACACCGGUGGCGAAGGCGGUUCUCUGGGCAUUACCUGACGCUGAGGAGCGAAAGUGUGGGGAGCGAACAGG
rnacentral:rRNA from 1 species